AGAGUUUGAUCCUGGCUCAGGAUGAACGCUGGCGGUAUGCUUAACACAUGCAAGUCGAACGGUGUCUUCGGACACAGUGGCGGACGGGUGAGUAACGCGUGAGAAUCUGGCUUUAGGUCUGGGAUAACCACUGGAAACGGUGGCUAAUACCAGAUGUGCCCUGCGGGGUGAAAGAUUAAUUGCCUGAAGAUGAGCUCGCGUCUGAUUAGCUAGUAGGUGGUGUAAUAGACUACCUGGGCGACGAUCAGUAGCUGGUCUGAGAGGACGAUCAGCCACACUGGGACUGAGACACGGCCCAGACUCCUACGGGAGGCAGCAGUGGGGAAUUUUCCGCAAUGGGCGAAAGCUGACGGAGCAAUACCGCGUGAGGGAGGAAGGCUCUUGGGUCGUAACCUCUUUUCUCAGGGAAGAACACAAUGACGGUACCUGAGGAAUAAGCAUCGGCUACUCCGUGCCAGCAGCCGCGGUAAUACGGAGGAUGCAAGCGUUAUCCGGAAUGAUUGGGCGUAANNCGUCCGCAGGUGGCUGUGUAAGUCUGCUGUUAAAGAGUCUAGCUCAACUAGAUACAAGCAGUGGAAACUACACGGCUAGAGUACGUUCGGGGCAGAGGGAAUUCCUGGUGUAGCGGUGAAAUGCGUAGAGAUCAGGAAGAACACCAGUGGCGAAGNNNNCUCUGCUAGGCCGUAACUGACACUGAGGGACGAAAGCUAGGGGAGCGAAUGGGAUUAGAUACCCUAGUAGUCC
rnacentral:rRNA from 1 species